CUUCGCGGAGGAUGAGGUUCCUGCUGGUUCCACUACGGAGGGAGGAAAGAAGAUGCUGGACAAAGAGCAUUCACCUAUGAAGAAGGAGAGGGUGUGCAUAUGCCCUAGGUCGCCCCCUCACCAUCAGAAGAAUGGGACUCCGAGGAACCACCGGCCUAGGAGUCCUCAAAAAAGAAAUUGAUGCACCCCAUCACUGUUGAAGAAAUACAACAACUACACCCCAC
rnacentral:lncRNA from 1 species